rnacentral:rRNA from 1 species
UACGUAGGGGGCGAGCGUUGUCCGGAUUUAUUGGGCGUAAAGAGCUCGUAGGCGGUUCGAUAAGUCGGACGUGAAAUCUCCACGCUCAACGUGGAGGGGCCGUUCGAUACUGUCGUGACUCGAGUCCGGUAGGGGAGUGUGGAAUUCCCGGUGUAGCGGUGAAAUGCGCAGAGAUCGGGAGGAACACCCGUAGCGAAGGCGGCACUCUGGGCCUUACCUGACGCUGAGGAGCGAAAGCGUGGGGAGCGAACAGG